rnacentral:misc_RNA from 1 species
AAGGAUCAUUUCUGAAGGCUUUUAGCCAAAACCACUGUGAACUGCUAAGUUUUCUUAGCGAAUGUUUGGGUGACUGCUUCGGCAGCGCCCAAUCUUAAAAACUUCUAUUUUUUAAUCUGAAACCAAGAAAUUUAAAACUUUCAACAACGGAUCUCUUGGUUCUC